AGAAGCAUGAGACAAAGAUCUUUUCUUUAUAAGUUACCUACAUUGGCUAUUUCUUUAUAGAAAUAAGAAUGGUCUAACAGAUAAAAUUGGUACCAAGGGAUGGAGCAUUGCUGUAAAGAUACCUGAAAAUGUGAAAGCAGCUUUGGAAUUGGGUAACAGGCAGAGAUAUUGGGACAGUUU